AAAAAAUGCAAAGUUUUUUUGGUAUAUAUACAACAAAUUGUUUAUCAACUUGUCGCAAGUCACAAUAUAAAAAGUUUCUCUAGUGACUAUGACCAUUCCUGCUUUUAUAAGUGGUCAUGGUAGUAGAAAUUUGUAUGUGCUGCGUUUCUGCUUGAAAGUCUGCACAUACAGCGUUAUUUGCACUUAGCCAGAGGUUAUGUACACCCCAAGCAUGCGUGACUUACACGGCUCAGCUAAUGUCAAUCCUGUGCAAAAAAUCUAUUUGCAGUCAGCACGCACUGCACAUUAGUGAUAGGGGAGGUCAGCUUCUACCUGCAAGAAGAGUCUUCAAUGUAACCAUCCCUGUUCAGAUCCAUGUCGGCUCUCCCCUCCAUUUCUUAUUGCUCUGUUUUUGUUUUAUUCCUUGUCUAUCCCUGAUUCCUUAUCUCCCAGGCACAGAACACGUGCACACACUGAUCUAGGGAGAAUGGUCCAAUCAAGUAGAGGAAGCUGUGAUGUCAUGCGGGGCGUGGAAACCAGCACACGGAGCUUAGCCUGGUGCUGGAUUCUAGGUAAG